UUCAAGAAGAACAACUCUUGCAGACAGGUCACGUGCGCUGUAUGUAACAACACGAGACACAAACGUUUUGUUCAGUCAGCUCGCGUUAUUGAGUCUACUCAUACAUCACUGAAUCUAU
rnacentral:precursor_RNA from 10 species